rnacentral:lncRNA from 1 species
UUUUUCUUUUGUUCUCUCUGUUUUCACAUAUGUUUGUGAAGUGAUUGGUACAGUCAUCCACUACAUCAUCGAAGUUUUUGACAUAGCCUUCAAGGCCUGCUGAUUUUCCAUGGCCUUCAUAGUCAAUCCCAUAUAAGGCAAAGCCUGCUUUGGCAAGCCUGAUUGCAAUACGGUUCAUGGUGAUGCUGCAUUCCAUGGCGUAUCCAUGACAGAUGAAGAUUAAGGCCUUGGGUGUGGUGUUUUUUUUUUUUUUUUUGGGAGCCAUCUGCAUGUGAAAAGCUUCAAGCCUCGAGAAUUUAAGAUCAACUCCUCUUCAUAUUUGACACCUUCCAUAUCAGAGGCCAUGAUGUGUGUUAAGAGUGCUUGAUAUCAGGAAGAAUGCUAAGAGUAUGAGUGAGAGAAAUAUAUGCCAGAUUCAGAUGGAAGUUGGCAACUAGAGAGAAGUAUUGGGAAGUUGAUAUUUGUUUAUAUAGAAAACUCUGGCUUUGCCUGUCCUGGCUAG